CCUCGGGAGGCAGCAGUGAGGAAUAUUUGUCAAUUGCCGAGAGGCUGAACCAGCCAAGUCGCGUGAGGGAAGAAUGUCCUAUGGAUUGUAAACCUCUUUUGUCAGGGAGCAAAGUCACCCACGUGUGGGUGUUGGAGAGUACCUGAAGAAAAAGCAUCGGCUAACUCCGUGCCAGCAGCCGCGGUAAUACGGAGGAUGCGAGCGUUAUCCGGAUUUAUUGGGUUUAAAGGGUGCGUAGGCGGGUUAUCAUGUCUGCGGUAAAAUCGUGGGGCUGAACUCCGGCCAGCCGUGGACACUGGUGAGCUUGAGUGGGCGAGAGGUGUGCGGAAUGCGUGGUGUAGCGGUGAAAUGGAGAGAGAUCACGCAGAA
rnacentral:rRNA from 1 species